UGCGUAGGCGGGUUGAUAAGUCAGUGGUGAAAGGCUACCGCUCAACGGUAGAAUUGCCAUUGAUACUGUCAAUCUUGAAUACAGUCGAGGUGGGCGGAAUGUAACGUGUAGCGGUGAAAUGCUUAGAUAUGUUACAGAACACCAAUUGCGAAGGCAGCUUGCUAGACUGUUAUUGACGCUGAGGCACGAAAGCGUAGGUAGCGAACAGGAUUAGAUACCUGGUAGUCC
rnacentral:rRNA from 1 species